rnacentral:rRNA from 1 species
CCCUUAGAUGUUCUGGGCCGCACGCGCGCUACACUGAUGCAUUCAACGAGUUUCUUCCUGGUCCGAGAGGAAUGGGUAACCUUUUGAAAGCGCAUCGUGAUAGGGAUAGACUAUUGCAAUUAUUGGUCUUCAACGAGGAAUUCCUAGUAGACGUAGUUCAUCAGACUGCAUCGAUUACGUCCCUGCCCUUUGUACACACCGCCCGUCGCUCCUACCGAUUGAAUGCUCAGGUGAGCCAUUCGGACUUUCAUCAUGCUGGUUUCCAGUUUUGAUGAAGGAAAGUCUUGCGAACCUUAUCAUUUAGUGGAAGGAGAAGUCGUAACA